GCUCGUCUUCUUGGAUACACUCUUCCCCAACACUUCUAACAAUUUGAUACUUCUCCUCCAAGCUCAAUUGGUGUGAAGAGUUCGAUGAACAAGCCGGCUCCUGAACUUUAUCGUCUGAGAUUGAGAGGGACUGUAAAUCCUCGGAUGGAGUUUGCGAAGGUGCUUCUGUGGCCAUUGAAGCCGUGUGAAAAAAAAUGGAUCAAAAUCUCAAGCUUGCAACUUUACCCACUGUUUGGAACUACUGGAAGUUAAAGGAUUUGAAAUCAAAAUGAAUUUGAAAUCUUGUCUUGAUACAAAAUAUUUCCAAAGU
rnacentral:misc_RNA from 1 species